rnacentral:tRNA from 13 species
GGGUGCGUAGCUCAGUGGGAGAGCGCUUCCUUGACGCGGAAGAGGCCGCAGGUUCAAUCCCUGCCGCACCCACCA